UACGUAGGUCCCGAGCGUUGUCCGGAUUUAUUGGGCGUAAAGCGAGCGCAGGUGGUUUAUUAAGUCUGGUGUAAAAGGCAGUGGCUCAACCAUUGUAUGCAUUGGAAACUGGUAGACUUGAGUGCAGGCGAGGAGAGUGGAAUUCCAUGUGUAGCGGUGAAAUGCGUAGAUAUAUGGAGGAACACUGGUGGCGAAAGCGGCUCUCUGGCCUGUAACUGACACUGAGGCUCGAAAGCGUGGGGAGCAAACAGG
rnacentral:rRNA from 1 species